rnacentral:rRNA from 1 species
AGUGAACGCUGGCGGUAGGCCUAACACAUGCAAGUCGAACGGCAGCACAGUAAGAGCUUGCUCUUACGGGUGGCGAGUGGCGGACGGGUGAGGAAUACAUCGGAAUCUACUUUUUCGUGGGGGAUAACGUAGGGAAACUUACGAUAAUACCGCAUACGACCUACGGGUGAAAGCAGGGGAUCUUCGGACCUUGCGCGAUUGAAUGCGCCGAUGUCGGAUUAGCUAGUUGGCGGGGUAAAGGCCCACCAAGGCGACGAUCCGUAGCUGGUCUGAGAGGAUGAUCAGCCACACUGGAACUGAGACACGGUCCAGACUCCUACGGGAGGCAGCAGUGGGGAAUAUUGGACAAUGGGCGCAAGCCUGAUCCAGCCAUACCGCGUGGGUGAAGAAGGCCUUCGGGUUGUAAAGCCCUUUUGUUGGGAAAGAAAAGCAUCAGGUUAAUACCCCGCUGUUCUGACGGUACCCAAAGAAUAAGCACCGGCUAACUUCGUG